rnacentral:rRNA from 1 species
GGUUUGAUCAUGGCUCAGAUUGAACGCUGGCGGCAGGCCUAACACAUGCAAGUCGGGCGGUAGAGAGAAGCUUGCUUCUCUUGAGAGCGGCGGACGGGUGAGUAAUGCCUAGGAAUCUGCCUGGUAGUGGGGGAUAACGCUCGGAAACGGACGCUAAUACCGCAUACGUCCUACGGGAGAAAGCAGGGGACCUUCGGGCCUUGCGCUAUCAGAUGAGCCUAGGCCGGAUUAGCUAGUUGGUGAGGUAAUGGCUCACCAAGGCGACGAUCCGUAACUGGUCUGAGAGGAUGAUCAGUCACACUGGAACUGAGACACGGUCCAGACUCCUACGGGAGGCAGCAGUGGGGAAUAUUGGACAAUGGGCGAAAGCCUGAUCCAGCCAUGCCGCGUGUGUGAAGAAGGUCUUCGGAUUGUAAAGCACUUUAAGUUGGGAGGAAGGGCAGUAAAUUAAUACUUUGCUGUUUGACGUUACCGACAGAAUAAGCACCGGCUAACUCUGUGCCAGCAGCC